UAAAACCCUAGAAAAAAGCUCCAUCCUUUAACUUCGUUAUGACAAAAUCUCAUCUCUGUUUCCUAUGUUUCUUCCUCUCCUCACUAAACUUCGCAUCUUCUCAGACCAGCGUCGACGCUCAACUAUGCAAGCCCUCAAAUCGAGCCUAAACCUCACUAAAGACGUUGACUGGUCCAACCCCAACCCUUGUAAAUGGCCAACCGUUCAAUGCGCCGCAAGCAACAGAGUCACGAGAAUCCAACUCAAAACCAAAGGAAUCCGAGGAAUCCUCCCUCCGAACCUCCAAACCCUCAGGGAGCUAAUCGUCCUGGAGCUUUUCCAGAACCAAAUCUCAAGUCUGAUCCCCGAUCUCUCCGGUUUAACCUGGUUACAGACCCUUAACCUCCACGACAACCUCUUCGACUCUGUACCCAAGAAGCUUACCUCGAGAACAACCCUUUCUCUCCCUGGGAGAUGACCAUGGACAAGCAGAAGACCGGGUUAGCCAUCCACAUUUGCUACAAAUCUAGCUAAUUUUCUAUUUUUUAACGUAGAUAUGCUUGCAUCUGAAUUUUAUGUCAACUGGACUUAGUCUGCCAAAUAGACGUAUAGCCUGCCUCUUCUUUUGUUUGCUUCCUAAUUGUUUUAUUAUCCUCUAUGUUUCUAUUUUACAGUGUCAUAAAUGUUGGUUCUCUUAGUCUUGUUUUAUUAUCUUCUAUGUUUCUGUUUGAUGGCAGGUACUUUUCUACAAGCUAUGAUUUUCUAACUACUAGUUAUGAACGUAUAGAAACUUUGCUUCCUCAGUUGUGCUUCAGUUGUUCUGAUAUAUGAAAAUUCUUGUUAUUUUGAGAGAUAGAGAGAGAUCUGAACCAAAGUGAGUUUCUGACAGAUUAUAUCAAUUGUGGUUUCUUGUACUUCUUUUAUGUGAAUAUAAGUCUUUAUGUUGGUCAGUAUCUCAAAGCUUCUACUCUGUUCUUUUAGAGGCCAGGCCUGAAGUAAUGGGAAAAAAAAGGCAACGUUCAUUUCAGGAACAGAGGCUGCAAAGAAAUGUUUAAUUGUUUUCAAUUUUCAAUAGUUUUAGGAGUGUUCUAUUGUUUUUACCACCAUCGCUCGUCACCACCAUUGUCGACACCACCGUGAGCAGAGGAUCAGUUCCUUGCCUCUCCUUGGGGUUGAUCAAUUCUAGAUAUAACCAGAUACUUCUACCUCUGGUUGCUACUUUUGUCAUUAAAUAUGUUAACUAUUUAUGUUAGACUAGCAUUUAAACAGAAUUGUUAGUUUUUUGUGUUGCUAAUAUAUGUACUCUAUGUCCAAUAUUUAAGGUCAGAAAAAAAUAUAGUUUUUAAACUCUUAACCUGUUGUUUUCUUUUAUCGAUUUCUGCAUCUAUGUAAACGGAUCACAACUUUAUCAAUAUACAUGCUAACUUUAA